rnacentral:ncRNA from 1 species
AAAAGCAUGGCGGGUGUUCUGUUUCCUUUUGCACUGCAUUCCAAUCUCUCUCAUCUAUCUGCAUCAAUUCAAUUGAUCAGAUGGCAUAUGCGAGGACUUGGGGUGAGGUGUAGAAGGAUUCGGAUCUGAGAAUAUACCGUUCAAAACUUGAUCUAGAUAAUUCUAGCGAAAGGACAUGCUUUCCCCUAUUC